ACGGCUGGGCGAGCUGUGAUUCAAAGGGGGUCUUGGUGCUCAGCUUCUCUGCUUCCCCGCCGGGCUUCCUAGGGCUCGGGAGCUUUCUCAUCCAUCGAUUGAGAUCUGAUCCUCUGACGCCUGGAGUCACUCACCGUCCGGGAGCGUCGCUUCGGACUGGCACUUGACUGGCAGCGUGUGCCUAAGUAUAAUAUAUCCACAUUAACAUAAGUCUCAAAAAAGAUGUCUGUUUAUUGUGAUAAGCAUGCAUACAAGAAUGAAAAGGAAAAUCCUAUCCCAGACUGCAAACACAGCUUGAAAGAAUUGAGAGAGAUUGACACCCGAGCCAUCUCUGGAGAGACUGACGUGAUGGACAGGAGAGACUGGCUGAAAAGAAAGAUGAAAACUAGAAACAUUUGCUUUUUGAUCAACUCUGGGCUUUCUAAGAACCAUCAGCAGGGUAAGUAAUUUUGGCAAAACUUACUGUGCUUCAUGGGUCAAUCUGACCUUUGCAACUGUUCCUUUUCUGCCUCAAUCCAUUUGUAUGCCCACCAGGUGAGUCCCUGUUCUGAGAGAACCUGAAGAAGUACAGCAGGGAGGCACUAAUCAUUUAUUGGUUAACAAACGAUACACUUUGGGUUAAUUAUACUUAUGCUGUGAUUUUACCUUUUACUUCUUGAAUCUGAACCAGCAAUAGUAUAGAAUACUUUUCCCUAGUACUUUCCUGGUGCCUGGAGCACCAGAAAAAUCAUUCAUGGGUUACUUUCACUAUUUGUCUCUGAUACAUUGUUUUAAUUAUGCUGAACAGGAACUAUGGUCUUAUCCUCAGCCAGGGCAAUUGUAUUAUCCUUACUGAUCACAAGGUUACUGUAAGGAACGGCACCAAGAAUGGAGGAGAGCUUAAACAAGCUUUAUUUGGGUACGCUCCAGGGGGACGUUCACUGGUCCGAGAGAAAGGGGCCAGAGAAGUCGCGCCCCGGUGAGGGUUUGGGCAGAAUUUAUAGGGGAAGAAGGGAAAGGGGUGUGGUGAAUCCGGGAGGGCGCAGGGUAUUCCUUAUUUGGUGGUCUUUUCGGGUGUCGUGGGGGACCGUUAGUCCCGCCCCUCGAAAGGCGGGAAGGCUGGGCUGGGUCGAAAGUCCCCAGGUCAGUUCCUGGAACUGGGUGCUCCGGAAAGUCUCCAGGUCAGUUUCAACCUGUGAGUCUGAUUGCGUUCCCCUGCCUCGGGCCAGUUGGCCUUACAGUUACUUUUGUAACUGAGGAUUGUAGGACAUUUAUUCAGCAUGGAUUAGAAAGUACUUGACAUAAAGUCUACAGUGUUAUUCAUUCAUUCAACAAAUAUUUAUUGAGUGACUACUAGGGGUGCAGAGGAGGAAUCAAAUAAAUAUUCCCACCCCCAUGGAGCUUACACUCCAGCUGAAAAGGAAAGAAAUAAGCAAGAUAAGUAAAAUUGUAUUUUCAAAUAGUGCUAAGGAGAAAAUAAAACAGGAAAGAGAGGAAAUACCAGGGAAAGGGGGAUUACAAUUCUAGAUAUGGAAAGCUCACCAAGAAGUUGAAUUUUGAGUGCAGAUCUGGAGAAGGUGAAGGAGUGAGUUACAUAGAUAUUUGGAGGAGAGUAUGCCAGGCAGAGACCAACAGUUGCAAAGGCCCUUGGCGGAAGCUUGCUCACUAUGUCUGAAGAAAGCGAGGAGGCAUAUAUGGCUGAAGAUGAAUGAGCCAAGAAGAAAGUAAGUAGAGAUGAGGU